rnacentral:lncRNA from 1 species
UGAGCCCACCAAGACACAAAAAAUCAGCUAUAAAUUCCAGAAAAUCAUUGGAAAAAAAAAGAAAAGACAAGGGGAGAUCAGAAAAACAACGGAGAAAACCCUAGAAGCUAAUUCAGAGAACUCAUAUGCACAAAGGUUACCUCCACCAACCCUAUCAGGCAUAAACCCUAAGAUUGCCCUGCAAACCCAACGGUGCAAAUCCAAUUUCAGCCAAUCCCUCCAAUCAGGUUUGC